rnacentral:tRNA from 1 species
GCCGUAGGGGAACCUGCGGCUGGAUCACCUCCUUUCUAAGGAUGGUUCUUCAGAAGCUUGCUUCUAUCGAACCGUUUUAGAAACAUCAGUGGCCAACAGAUCGCCAGAUCGUUGAGCUGCAUUGGCGGGAUUUCGCCGUCUUCGUUUCUCUUUCUUCGCGGACGAACACGCGCUGGGCCUGCAUCGAGCAGGAUCCCACGGUCCCUGACGGGAUAUGCGUUAGGGGCUUGUAGCUCAGUUGGUUAGAGCGCGCGCUUGAUAAGCGUGAGGUCGGAAGUUCAAGUCUUCCCAGGCCCACCACUUUCAGUGAGCAUUCGUCUUCUGGUUACGGGGCCAUAGCUCAGCUGGGAGAGCGCGUGCUUUGCAAGCAUGAGGUCGUCGGUUCGAUCCCGUCUGGCUCCACCAGAUGGUUUGAUCACCGAGAUCUUGUACCGUCGUCCGCGAAACAUCACUUCGCAUCCUGCUAGUCUGGAUAGACAGCAAGAUGCGUGUUUUCUGACAUCGUAAAGAGGAGAUCGAUCCGAGUUGGGUCGUGCAGCAGAUUGUUGCGCGGAUCCUUCAUUAUCUCCGGAUCAUUUUCGGCGCUCGCUCUCAGCCGUGAGGUUGAAUGCGAGUUGUAAAAUGAUCCUUUUAGCGAAGCUUGACCGCCUCGCUAUCGGAACGAUCUUACGAAGCAAGCUGGUCUUUCUAGUCAAUGUCCGGCUGCACGUAGCAUUCAUCGAGGGUGCGCGCCUUAGAGACUUCGGUUUCUCGGCAAUCGUGCAGACAACAUUCUGCCGAGUGUGUGGACAUUGAUAAUGAGAGCAAUCAAGUGCCUUAAGGGUGUUCG